rnacentral:lncRNA from 1 species
UUGUAUCCUCGUAGCUAAUCAUAUGUUGUUACUGGUAAAACAUAAACCCAAAUAUAAAUCAUAAACCAAAAUAGAAUGGAACAAAAUAAAUAACAUAGUAUAUACUGGUGAAAUUAUGAAAUGUAUAUUAUUGCAUUGAAUAAGAUAAUGCUGACCCUGACCCUAACGAUGUCCCCUCACUUUCUAAAUACUAAACCCUUAACUCUAAUCACGGAACAGAAUAAAUAAAAUAGUACAUAUUGGUGAAAUUAUGAAAUGUCUAUGAUUGCAUGGAAGAAGUUAAUGAUGACCCCAACCAUACCCCUCACCUUCUAAUUACCUAAUCUAAAUAUAAACCCUAAACUCAAAUAUCAAAAUCUAAAAAGUACAUAAUAUUAUGUAAUAUUAAACUCUACAAUAUAGAUCAUAGUACAAUUUUUACAGAUUCAAAAACAUGUAACGAUAGUUAAAACUUAAAAAAAAUUACAAACUACAUUUCUAAAAAAAUAGAGCGCUUUUAGUAACCUUC